rnacentral:tRNA from 1 species
UGCCCAAUGCGGGAAUCGAACCCGGGUCGUAGUGGUUGAAAACCAACGGUUUAGACCAUCCUUCCACCAACCC